AUGGCAACGUUCGUGUCAGCGGCAGCAGCGCGGCCGGCCGGCACGACGGCGGUGUUCGAGGAGGGGCGGCACGACGUGCAGGUGGAAACCGUCCAUCCGUGCCAGGCCAAGGGUCUCCCCAAGCCGCUCUUGGUGGCUGCCCCCAAGGACCCUGGGAGCUAUCCCGUUAUCGUGUUCCUGCAUGGCUGGAAUAUGUACAACAGCUGGUAUCAGAACCUACUGAAGCAUGUCGCCUCUCAUGGCUUCAUAGCUGUGGCACCGCAGCUUUACGUCUUCUCGAUCCUGACUGUUGUCAACAUGGAUGACAAGAAAGACAUAGCUACGACGAAGCAAGUAACCAACUGGCUCGCCGAUGAGCAGCAGGGGCUCCUCUACGUCCUCAGCAACAUCCUCAAAGUCGACGGCGUGAAGCCCGACCUGUCCAGGCUCGCGCUGGCCGGGCACAGCCGAGGCGGCGACACAGCCUUCGCUGUGGCGCUGGGGCUCAAAGGCAAAGGCGACGAAACCUCACUGGACCUCAACUUCUCUGCCCUCAUUGGCGUUGACCCCGUGGCCGGGCUAGCAGAGUGGCUACAAGUGGAGCCCAAGGUCCUCUCCGGCUCGUUGAUCAACCCACGGAUGCCGGUCCUCGUCAUCGGCACUGGGCUGGGCCCGGAGGGCAACAUCCUACCUCCGAGCCUCCCCUGUGCACCGGCUGGUGUGAACCAUAUCAAUUUCUACAAGGAGUGUGCGCCACCACGGUACCACUUCACCGCCAAGGAUUACGGGCAUCUGGACAUGCUGGAUAACGAUGUUCCGCUGCUCGUUGACUGCAUGUGCAAGAGGAACCCGGAACACACCAAGGAGCUUGCCCGGAGGACCAUGGGGGGACUCAUGGUGGCCUUCUUGAGGGCCAUGUUGGAGGAUAAGGAUGAGGAUCUCAACACCGUGCUCCAGAACCCUGACCUGGCGCCCGCUGUUCUGGACCAAGUGGAGUAUGAUUUGGCUUGA
rnacentral:rRNA from 1 species